AUGUUUGAACUUCAGCAUUCCCAGGAACUUACAUCAAGGAAAAGCCACGAGAAGCAUGAAGUACAAUAUGAACAACAUGAAAACGCAGCAACGCAGAGCAGAGCACCGUCUGAGGAAAAACAGCAGGAAAGCUGUGAACAACAACAAGUGGUGACAUUCCUGAUCCUCCACAAAGCAGAGGUGUGCGAUCAUUAUCCAGAAGAUGCAGAGGAACGAGCUGCACAAGCGGUUUAUUGCAGCGAUGAGACCAAGAUGAACGUCCAGCAAAGAGAAGCUCGACGUGUGGGGCAAGAAGGGGCCAAAAGCACAAACCCGUGGGUGAAGAAGCGUGACUUUAGUGUCUGGUUUGGACUCGAGUGGCUUCGUCUGGAACAGGCUGAAAAGAGGAGACUCAACGCCACAACAGGUGAAGGAGGCUGCAGGAAAAUCAACGGACAGAACCACCAGACUUUUCCAGUGUGGAGCGCGCAUUCUUCGGCUCAGAGGCGGCGAAACAUGCAGCGAUCGCAGAGUCCAGACACCCGAGUGGAUGUAAAGUGCACAUCGCCGCGAGUGGUACUGAGAGAGAUUGAACCGAAGCGCCGAAAGCUAAGUAGCAUUUCAUCUCAGACACCGAGCACCAAGUGGAACUGCAAAGCUAGGAGUCAAAUGUUAAUCAUAAACAUUUAGUGCGAAAAUCGACAACUGUGUCGAUUUCCAGGUGUGACCCCGUGUUUUCGUCUGCCCGGGCUGAUUUCCAAGUAGGGCAGGCAUGAAUCAGCCCUGGAUGCAGUCUGAAGUGGUCCAAAAGUAAUUAAGGUCCCUACUCCUAAUUGACAACAGACCCUGCCCAUAGAAGCCCUAGCACCGAACAACAGCCAAGCAUGGGAGGAAAAAACAGGCUGUGCACUGUGAUAAUGGCUGCACAGGCUGAGUGUGGACAGAUGAGGAGCAUGGAUGAUGAUAAUACUGAAUAUGACUGAGUCGCUCUGCCAACAAGUGUGACUCAAAAAAUAUUUUAUCCAGCUUAUAAGACUCCCUGUGUGUCGCUGGUUCAGGUGACUCGAGGAAGCGUCUGUCCUAAACUAUUAAUGCGGCUGCAUUCUGGUUUUGUUCGACGCUGGGCAGUUCCGCCCGCGGCCACAGGGGGCGCUCGCUGUCAUCUUUUUCUUUUUGGCUUUACCCACCGUUCCCUGUGAUGCGUUCAAAGCAUCACUCGAGCAUCAACACAGCAACGCUCAGAAGUUGGUGUAGAGAAAUACUGACCCCCCACCACGACAACAUAAUAUGUCAUGACUUGACACAAUGGGCUGAAUUUCUGCCCAGUCAGCGCGUAGAUCCCUGUCUGCGACUGUUGAUGGUGGAAAUGUGGAACAAGACAAGAAAAUGUUAUUACAGCUGAAUUCUUUCCAAAGCGAGAUGUAAAUAAUUCUGCCACCACCACAGAAUGUAAUACUAUUUUUUCCCUGAGGAGAAAGUAUCAUUAUCUAAAUCAGUGUGUGUGUAAUGUGCAGCACAUUACACUGAUUUAACUAGUGAUGUCAAAUUAAAUCUGUGUCUGAUCAGGAUAUCGAUCACACCUUUCUUUAUGACCCUGCUGAUAUGUACAUUUAUCAAUAUUAACUUUAUCAAAGGGCUGAUCGUUGUCUAAUAUUGUCUGUUAUUGCUUUUUUGUCCUGUAGACAUCAUGUGUUGUAUCUUAAUUAAGCGCCUUAGAGAUAAGCCCAGUAUUAUAGCAACACUACUACUGUGGGUUUAACUGGCCGUGAAGUGAACACUCGCAUGCUUCAUACAAAACUUGGCACUGGAAUUUAUUGUUGAUGCACGUUCCAAGGAGCUCAGUUUGUGCCAUGCAUGAAAAUAAAAGAAAAUAGAACAAUAACA
ensembl:lncRNA